AUGACUACUAUGAGACAGGUGAAGCAGCUUUUGCUGAAUACAGCGCCCCCUGCAGCACAGAUGCAGAGCAACAAAAUUUUUGAGGCUCCUCUCCCUAAACAGUGGUUUGCUGGAAUCCCCACCCCCGAGAUUUUUCAUGAGCAUUGUUCUGUUUCUGCAAUAUAGGCACUGCACAUGCUUGGUAAAUAAACACAUAUUUCUGGAGAGUCCCUGUCAUGGAUUCCUUCUUCAUUCAAUGCAGAUUUACUCCAGGCAAGAAUGAGGUCCCAGGACUUUGCGCUGCACCUUGUACUUGCAUUGAACAACAACAAAAAAUGACAUUCUAAUGGAGGAGACAGGAUAUUGUAGAAUUGGGAGCGAUUCAAAACGGCUUCAAGGAUACAGAACCACAGGCUGUGCAGAGUAUUGUAAUGGUGAUCUGAGAAAGCUUUACCUGCACAGAAAACUUUGUUGAUGGAUGGAUGACCGAGAGCAAGAAUGUCAUGCAUAUUUGGGUGUGGUUACCUCAGAGAAGAUAGGAGUGGUCUUGGAUGCCACGCAUUGACGUAGACUUGCCAGACUAGACAGGAAUUUCAACUCCCCACAACAGUGCAAACAUGGUGUAGUACACACAUGUACUAGCACAAUUAAAAAAAAUGUUAAAAAUAAAAAAGUAAAAAACGGGGCUGGGGAUUUAGCUCAGUGGUUCCGCUACCUGCCUCGAAAGCGCAAGGUCCCGAGUUUGAUCUCUGGUACCAAAAAAAAAAACACAACAAAAAAGUAAAAAACAAAUUAAUCAUAGCACAUAUGUCAUAACAUGAUUAUAUGGAAUUACAUAAUAUCAACAAAAUGGCUAGAACAGUGCAUAGCAUACGGUAGACACCCAGUUUGCUCUUUAAAACAAUUAAGUUGACCCUUCUACUUCAUUCGUGCUACUACAUCUUCUUGUAUCUUCAGAAACCUUGUCUCCGUUUGUGUUUAUCACUUCCCCACUAACUUCAGAUUCUCUCUGACACAUGGAAUUGACAUUCAGAGGUUAUUUGAAGGCAGACAAAUGGUAAAUUGUAAAUUUAGGACUGGAAGUCAAGCCAACUAAUUUCCAACUCACUGAAAAUGCCACAUCUUUCUUCCUCCCACCUUAACUUAUUUUGUUAACAAAAAACUAAAAAUUGAAAUUCCACUUGACCCAGCUAUUUCCUUUCUAGGUAUCUUUUCCCAAAAGUUAAAGACAUCAUAUCACAGUGAUACAUGCAUACCCAUGUUUAUAGCAGCCCUUCAUAAUAUCUAAAUCCUGGAAGCAGCCUGUAAUGUCCUUCAAGAGAUGAAUGCAUAAAGAAAACGUGGUAUUUACAUACAAUGGAUACUACUUUGUUGGAAAGAAGAAUAAACUAAAGUCAUUUGUAGCAAAAUGGAUGCACCUUGAGACCAAAAUAUGAAGUGAAAUAAAUCAGACACACAAUCUUAAAUAUCACAUGGUUUAGCUGGGGGUUGGGUGGUACAUGCCUGUAAUUCCAGCACUUGGGAGGCUGAGGCAGAAAGAUCACUGCAAGUUUGAGACCAGCCUGGCUAUAUAGUGAGUUCAAGGCCAGUCUGAAUUGAAUAACAAGAUCUUGUGUGUUUUUUAAAAUAUAUAUUUGCAUAAUUUCUCUUACGUGAGAAACCAAAAGUUUUAAUUCAUUUUUAAAAAUUAAAAUAAGAAAGAGGUAUAGAGAAGUAUAGAAAAGGGAUAGAAGAAACCAAGGUCAAGUUAUAAAAGUGGAAAGGUGAGCUUGGGAAUUCUAGCGCAAAUUUCCACCUGUCACUGCCACCCUGUACUGCUGAGCUGUGGGGAGAAACCUGCUUCAGCUUUUGGGAUGUCAGCUUUUUGGGGCAGAAAGAGAGAUGUGUUUGAAGGAUGACAAAUGAAUAUAGAAAUAGAGAAAAGAAAAUUGGGGGAUAGAAAAUAUAUAGAAUCAACCAGGAUGCUCAUUAACAGAGGGAUGGAUAAAGAAAAUAUGGCACAUGGAAAUAUAUAAAUAUACAUAAAUAAAUGAACUAUUACUCAGAUAUAAAGAAUGGAUUCAUUCAUUUGUGGCAAAAUGAAUGGAACUGAAGGACAUGAUGCUGAGUGAAAUAGUCCAUGCCUAGAAAGACAAUACUGCACUUUCUCACUCAUAUGUGGAAACCAUUAAAAAAAAUGGACAUGAAAGUAGAGUAGUGAUUACUUGUGAGUGAGAAGUGUGUAUGUGUGCGUGUGUGUGUAGCUGGUGGUAGAAAACUAGUGGUUGAGCUAUGAUUAGUGCAAACCAUAUGUGUCUAUGGAAACGUCAUGCUGACCCCUCAACAAGUGCAGUUAAUAUGUUAAUAAAAAGUAAAUGGAGCUGAUUUUUGUGUCCUUCAGCUUUACAAAACUUAUCCAUUCCAUGAAUUUUGUGUGUGUAUAUUUGUGGAGUCUUUAGAGGUUUCUAUAUAUAAGAUUAUGCUAUGUGCAAAUAAACAAUUUUACUUUUUUCUGAUUUGGUGACAUGUACUUCCUUUUAUUGACUAAUUGCUUUGGACUGCGUUAAAAAGAAGUGGCAAGAGUAGGCAUCUUUGCCUUUUUCCUGAUUUUAGAGGAAAACCUUUCAGCUUUUCACCAUUCAGUGUAAUAAUGUUAGCUUUGGAAUUUUCAUAUAAGGCUCAAACUAUGUUGAGAUAAUCUUCCCGUAUUUUAAUUUCUUGAGUGCUUUUUAUAAUGAAGGAAUUUUGAAUUUAAGUGUCUUUUCUACAUUCAAAGAUCUUAUCCUGUGAUUUUUUUUCCUUAUUCUGUUUUUGUACUUUUGUCACAUUUAUAUAUUUGUGUAUGUGAAACUUGCCUUGUAACACAGGAAUAAACCCCAGCAGGUCAUUGCUGUUCGAUUCUAUUUCCUAGUGUUUUAUGUACACCAUUUGAAUCUACAUAAAUG
rnacentral:lncRNA from 1 species